rnacentral:rRNA from 1 species
AUACGGAGGAUCCGAGCGUUAUCCGGUUUUAUUGGGUUUAAAGGGAGCGUAGGCGGACGCUUAAGUCAGUUGUGAAAGUUUGCGGCUCAACCGUAAAAUUGCAGUUGAUACUGGGUGUCUUGAGUACAGUAGAGGCAGGCGGAAUUUGUGGGGUAGCGGGGAAAUGCUUAUAUAUCAUGAAGAACUCCGAUUGCGAAGACUGCCUGCUGGAAUGUAACUGACGCUGAUGCUCGAAAGUAUGGGUAUCAAACAGGAUUAGAUACCCUUGUAGACCACACAGUAAACGAUGAAUACUCGCUGUUUGCGAUAUACAGUAAGCGGCCAAGCGAAAGCGUUAAGUAUUCCACCUGGGGAGUUCGCCGGCAACGGUGAAACUCAAAUGAAUUGACGGGG